CCUCUGGGCCUCUGCAUUGCUUUGUGGAUGUACUGAAGGGCUGGAGGUCAGAUAAGGUUGCAUCUGCCUAUUGCUUCAUCUCGGGGGAUUAACAGUGAAUCCAGGGCUGAUUUCUACUCUCACUGAGCUGAGGAGCAGACUCCUCAACUUUACAACCACCCGGGACAUCAGGCUUCAUGAAAGGUACUUGAAGGUAAACGUUUUCUUGUAAUUUUAACAUUGACGAUUCAUUUAGGUAAAUCAAAUGUGUUUUGAGAUUUUUAAAAUGUUUGAGAGUUAAAAAUAGGUUUUAAUUAGUUUGUUUCUGACCAUGAGAGACCUUUUAGAAACGGUUGAAUAAUCUCCCUAAUGGUGCGGGGAGGUCCAUUCACUGUGUGUGACUCUCAGCACCUCUUUGAGUGGCUAUGGCGAUAAGGCUUGGCGUUGUUGUGACAUUCACAGGUUACAAAAGGAAAGAGUAACGAUCCAAUGAUCACGUUGCAGACUAGGUCGAGGGUGAUCUGGCUCAUUUGCUUCUCAUCAUAGAUGACUUGCCGCUAUUGAAACUAUAGGAACAUGUUCAGGUUCUGAAAGAGUAAUUCUGUUGGGAGCAAAGGAAAUGAGCAACUAAUGUACCAACAGUGACAAUUAUGUGACAUUUGCCAUGGUCACUGAAAUAAUUUAAUCAAUGUUAAUGCCUAUUGCAUUUAUAGGAGGCAGGAUAUUUGUAGAUCAAAGCUGUGAUAAUCUGUCAUUCUUGAAACGCUACUAAACUACCAGAGUAGCUGGAAUCUAAGAUCUUGCUGCCACUAAUACCCAAACACAUUUUUAUUUUGCCUUUUUUUAACAGGCAUAAUAAAUUUUUCCAGUGAACCCAGUGGGUUUAAAGGGAAGCUGGAAGUGGACAACCUCUUUGGACUGCACCUCCAACUGCAAAGCUCCCCAUGAUCCUGACCAUUGGUGUUCUGGGCUCUCUCUGCCUCUGCACCCCACCUCGACUGCACUCCUGAUCCUUGGUCCUAGCCUUACAUCCAGCACAUGCCUGGACUGCUCGCUUACACUCUGAAUUAACAAUAGCAGAUUGCAGGACAUUCCUGGGCACCAUGGACAUCUGUGGGAAAGGCUGAAAGCUUUGUUGAGAGACGCUGAAGUUGGGCAAGAGCUACAGAGAGGAAACAGACACUUCAGCUCACUGAGUCUGCACCGACCAGAGACCCCUUACACUGGCACCAUCCUACACACUAGGGACAAUUUACAAUUUUCUUUUACCAAAGCCAGUGAAUCUACAAACUUGUAUGUCUUUGGAAUGUGGGAGGAAACCGGAGCACCCAGAGUAAAUCCACGCGGUCACAGGGAGAUCGUACAAACUCCUUACAGACAGCACCCGUAAUCAGGAUCAAACCUGUGUCUCUGGCGCUGUGAGGCAGCAACUCUACCAUUGUGUUACUCUGCCUUGACCAUGAAUCCUGGUUGCUGUCUUAGCUGAUACCAGUGUUAUAUACUUCCAGUAAUUUUUUAAUACAACCCGUCAUUAAAUCUUAGUACGACAAGCAGUGAUUUCUCAUAGCUCGCUUUAUAUCAAAUAAUUUGCGAUGCCCCUGUGUAAAUAUCAGCUACAGUAAGUCCAGAAGCAUAAUCAUUUUGAAAAAGGUGAAAUCCUUAUAAGUAAUGCAUUACAAUUCUAUAAUUUACUAACAAGAUGGGUGUUAAUGAGGAGAUUUUAUAUAGAUUGUAUUGUUCUAUGGAAGGGUUCAGCACAAGUAGCAAGGUAUAGGGAGAAUUUUAUUUGUAGCACGGAUAGAUGAUAUUCAUGGACCUUUUCGGUUCAGUCAAAAAUGGUAUUGGUUUUGUCUCCAGAUGCUCACACUGCUUUGUACUGGAA